UCCUACGGGAGGCAGCAGUGGGGAAUUGUUCGCAAUGGGCGCAAGCCUGACGACGCAACGCCGCGUGGAGGAUGAAGGUCUUCGGAUUGUAAACUCCUGUUGCUUGGGACGAAUUGCUCGGACCUAAUACGUCUGAGCUUGACGGUACCGGGUGAGGAAGCCCCGGCUAACUCUGUGCCAGCAGCCGCGGUAAUAAUCUC
rnacentral:rRNA from 1 species